ACUGAACGCUGGCGGCGUGCUUAACACAUGCAAGUCGAGCGGUAACAGGUGUAGCAAUACAUGCUGACGAGCGGCGAACGGGUGAGUAAUGCUUCGGAAUCUUCCUCGUAGUGGGGAAUAACCUGGGGAAACUCAGGCUAAUACCGCAUACGAACUACGGUUGAAAGCAGGGGAUCGCAAGACCUUGCGCUAUGAGAUGAGCCGAAGUCGGAUUAGCUAGUUGGUAAGGUAAAGGCUCACCAAGGCGACGAUCCGUAGCGGGUCUGAGAGGAUGAUCCGCCACACUGGGACUGAGACACGGCCCAGACUCCUACGGGAGGCAGCAGUGGGGAAUUUUGGACAAUGGGCGCAAGCCUGAUCCAGCCAUGCCGCGUGAGUGAAGAAGGCC
rnacentral:rRNA from 1 species